CGCAACGCGAAGAACCUUACCAAGGCUUGACAUAUACAGGAAUAUGGCAGAGAUGUCAUAGCCGCAAGGUCUGUAUACAGGUGGUGCAUGGUUGUCGUCAGCUCGUGUCGUGAGAUGUUGGGUUAAGUCCCGCAACGAGCGCAACCCUCGUUCUGUGUUGCCAGCAUUAAGUUGGGGACUCACAGGAGACUGCCGGGGUUAACUCGGAGGAAGGUGGGGAUGACGUCAAAUCAUCAUGCCCCUUAUGUCUUGGGCUGCACGCAUGCUACGAUGGCUGGUACAAACGGCUGCGAUACCGCAAGGUGGAGCGAAUCCGAUAAAGCCAGUCUCAGUUCGGAUUGGGGUCUGCAACUCGACCCCAUGAAGUCGGAGUUGCUAGUAAUCGUAGAUCAGCAACGCUACGGUGAAUACGUUCCCGGGGCUUGUACACACCGCCCGUCACGUCACGAAGUCGGUAACACCGCGAAGUCAGUGGCCCAACC
rnacentral:rRNA from 1 species